AUGGUGGGCAAGGGUCCAGAGCGCCCCGAGCCUCUUGCGAGCGCUACUGGGAGGGGUGGUUGCAUUAUUGCAGCGCAGCCCCUCCGGAGAGCGGUGCAGGAUGAUAUGCAAACAACUGCGGCGGGCGCUUCUUCUACGGCUGGGAGAGGUCGGGGGAGGACGAAGAAGGCUGGUAGAGGUGGACAUGGCAGUGGGAGAGGUAGGAAGGCUGCUACGCCUUCCUCGCCGCCACCCUCGGCUGAUUCACCCGACCACAGGAGUGCUCCGUCUUACGUGGACCCUCGGACUCCGGUCCACGAGCCUCCGGUCGCUGAUCCUUCGCCCCACCAGACUCGGGUCGCCGACCCCUCGCCCCACGUGAGUCGGGUCCUAGAGUCUUCGUCCCAGAAGACUCCGGUCACGGGGUCUUCGUCCCAGAAGACUCCGAUCCCGGAGUCUUCUUCCCACGAGACUCCAGAGGCUAGUAGCUCAGAGGAUGGUAGCGAGGACACCUUUUCAGAAGAUAGCUGCAGUGACGACGAGCUGGUUGAGAAGGGCAAGAAGGUUUACAAGCGUGGUUGUACAAAGCUCCCGCCCGUGCCGACGACCCCCGACCAGAGGUGGUUGAUUGCGCCUAAAGGGUUGAAGGGCUGGGUACGCCCCCGUGGUUCGCGUAGGCCCAACCAGGUCCUUGGUGUGCUUUGCCGGCAACACUUCCCUGGGCGGGUCACGUUGCCCGGUGAGGGUCAAGUUCCACAGCUAGCACUGACCUGGGAGCUGUACUCGGUUGCCCCGGCCCCGCCGGAGGAGAGGGUCGAUGGUGUCUUGUGCGAGACGGUGGCCAACAUUUUGUUCCGUCGGUUUUGGACCUUCUACAGGGUUUCAGAGGGAGAGCAGGAGGCCGCGUGUAUGGUUGUCGAAAACGAGUGCAAGCGCCUACUUCAGAACUUAAGGCACGAGGCUCGGGUGCAGGCCGUUCGAUACUACUACGCCUCGAAGGGUAUUAGGAGGGGCAAGCAGAAGUGUCGCGGCAUGUUUCUGGGUAAGGAGAAGUACAUGCAGGUGCCCCCGAGAUGGUGUGUGGAUAAGAUGGACUGUUGGGAGGAGUUGGUGGAUGCGUGGUGCUCUGCCCAAUGGAAAGUCGAACACCAAAGGGCCAAGGAUAAGCGCGACCAAAUGGAAGGUGUGCCACACCAUCAAGGGAGCUCCAACCUGUUUGAGUACGGGGAUAACUGGGCGCACCACAACAAGAAGCCUGUGCCAGGUCUGUUCGACCUCUAUGGCAUGGCCCAUAUGGCCCCGUACAAGAAGGCCAAGCCAUUCAUGGAGUCUGACCUAGAUGAUCCAGAGAGCUUCACCAACAAGACCUCCCACCACAAGCUUGUGAAGUACAGACACGAGGGGAAGGCGAGGAAAGGGGAGGACUUUAACCCGAGCCAGGAUCCUUUUGAUACAGAGCUAGUGAUGAUAUCUGGUGGCGGGAGGUCCCAUGGCUCUCUAGCCAUUGGUGAUGGACUGAUACAUUGUCCUAAGACUAUCCCGCAGAUCAAGAAGCGCCUGAGUAGCUCUGAUCCUGAGAUAACGCCUCGUGCACGGCCCGCGGAGAUCGCCAUGGCGGCUAUUGUUGAGAAAGAGAGAUCGAAGACGAAGGAGCUUGUGGAGGAGGAAAAAAGGGAGGCACAAAGGGAGGCAGCGAAGAGGGAGAGGGAGAUGGAGGAGAGGACGGCUAAGCUGUUGGAGGAGGAGAGGAACCAGAACGACAGCGCUAACCGGGCCCUAUACGAGCUCAUUGUGACCAUGUGCGAGAAAAAUGGUCAGGCCCCUCCGCCGAUGCCCCAGAUUGCUCCGGCGACCACGCAUGGCUCCCGACAAGCAUCGACCACUCCUUCUGCCAAUGCCGGAACCCCGACCGGUCCUUCACAUCCGUCUGGCACUGGCGCAGCCCCGACCAUUCCUACACCUUCGUGA
rnacentral:rRNA from 1 species